GCGCGUUUUUUGAAAAAGUAUUUUACUUGUGUUUUAAUGAUCAUAUCACAUUAAAAUAAUUAAAAACUAUUAUUGGCCCAUUCCUACAUUGUAGAAAAAAAGAAAUAAAGUUUAUUUGAGUGAGUUUGAGCGGUCGGCUUUCCGUAGACGACGGCCGGGGCGUAGUCUUGUCAUCAUCGUUGUCGUCAUCGUCGUCGAUUUUUACCAAACAAGCAAACAAGCGUUGGUUGAUAAGCUGCUCUCUCUUUACGGAUAUAUCUUGAGCAUUUUGAGAGCGUUUAAAAUGCAGUCCGGGGUCGCGGACCGACACGGGUCCCCCAGCAAGAGGACUCUUGCCCGGGGGAUGAGCGAGGACGAGUCCCUGCGCAUCAUCAUCUCGGAGACGGAGACCCCAUCCCGGCGGCUCGCCCGCAGCGACAGCCGAAGCGGAACUCUUAAGAGGAAGAGUGGAAGUCAGCAGUGUGAUCAGGACAUUUUCAAGACCCUGCCUGACGUGAUGGAGCUGCAGGCCAGCUACGAGGAGGUGGUGCAGGAGCGGCGGGGCAUGGAGCUGGAGCGCGAGGCGCUGCUGUUCCAGGUGGACGUGCUGCAGGACUCCCUGGAGAGCGUGGAGGAGCUGCUGGCCGAGGCGCACCGGGAGGCCGGCCAGGCCCGCACGGAAGCGGAGCUGGGGAGGAUGACCAAUAGGACGCUGGAGGACAAAGUCAGAGCGCUGACGACUGAAGUGGAGCGACUGAACGAGGAGAGGGACGCCCUAGCUACCCUUCAGAAACACGCGCUCAUUCUGGAGGAGGCACCCAGCACCCUGGCCCCAGCA
rnacentral:lncRNA from 1 species